CUGGUCGAAGUUCAACUUUUACUGGUUGAGCUGAUUUUACCAGUCCAAUAUCAGUGCUAUAUCGAGACCACAGAUGUUCUGGCACGUGUUGUAGCAUGUCUUUUUUAUAGCGUCUGAGUCAAGUUUAGCACUGCAAAUUGACUCAUGUGUCAUCUGUACAGCUUGUGGCUGACCCUGUCCGUGAGCAGAGAUAACAAUCCUUAUGAACUGCUGAUCCUCACUCACCCAAAUAGCAGGAUUUUCCUUAACUUGUGUAAAAAUAGCUUUCUCUGCUUCUACCAUCAUUGAGCCUAUAUGCUUCUGUUCAUAGGUCUCAGCUACCAUCAAAGUCACGUGAGGAAUGCUUUCCUCGAUGUCAUGUUCUUUUUCAAGAUAUUCAUUACUCUCUAUCUUCAUAGCUGCUCCUUGUGGCCCCAAAAUUAUUGAACUGGAGCUAAGCUGGACUUGUUUUGGUUGCUGCUUCAACCAGUCUGCUGAGUUGGUCUGUGUAGCAUCUUUAAAAUACUUCAAUGUACAGUGGUAUGGAUACUCAGGUAAUUUCACCUCACUCAUAUUGGCCACAAUAAAUUUCUCCCACAGCUUUGCUGGCUCUAGCAACUCCUGGCUAAGG